GCCCAGCUGGCUCAGUCAGUAGAGCAUGAGACUCUUAAUCUUGGGGUUAUGAGUUCGAGCCCCACAUUGGGUG
rnacentral:tRNA from 1 species